AAAGUCGUAACAAGGUUUCCGUAGGUGAACCUGCGGAAGGAUCAUUACAACGUAUCCACGUAUAAACCUUUGUGAACAUGUUUAACCGCGUAGUUGUAGCGCCGCAAAGCAGUACACGAUUCGGAAAUAAAGUGUACUGCCCGCUUCUCUCUCGCAGAGAAGGGACGCUAUGGCUGUGUUUUUCCGUUACAUUAUUAACCACUGUAACUUUCUAUGUACUUACGGAUUAAGGCGAAAGCUUUUCUUCGAUAAAUAUAAGAAAUUAUAGCACAACUCUUAGCAACGGAUAUCUAGGCUCUC
rnacentral:misc_RNA from 1 species